AACAGGGAAGUAGCAGUUCUGGAGGAAAUGGAAGAUGUCAUGUUUCAGGUAUGUUCACCGGAAGAGGGGUUACUAUUUUGGCAUGUCCGGUUGGUUCAUGCAACCUUUGCAUCUUCCUCUGGCUGGCACGUCCAGAUUGUACAUUUAGAUGAAAAGAAAGUCCCUUUUUCUUUCUAUAUGGUUGACCCGUGAAUAGUUAUAUUCACAAAUGUAAGAGUUUUCUGAAUUUAUCUUCUCAUUUGCAGUUUUGAUGGGAAUUGCUACAAAUAGUUAUGUUCAUGAAUGUAAGCAUGCGUGUGUGUUUCUAUCCUCUGAUGUCCCAGCAAUUAAAGUCUUCUAAAACAUUUGCUGGGUAUGUUCAGGUUCGCUCUGAUUUAGCUAUGGCUCAAAAAGCAUAACUCAUAUAAUUCUUUAAUGUUGCGAAAGAUGCACAAAUGUAUCAUUUCGUCUUCUGUUGGAUAGAACAAAAGAGAUCGAGAAGUUUAAAGUUUAAAGUUAAAGUUAGUUGUGGAGCUGCAUAGGCAUAUGAAUAAGUUACUGCACGGGUAAUUUGGUUUCUUCUGUGAACUUGAAUACCAUAAGUUUUGGAAAAGUAAAUAUUAAUCAUCUUUGAAUUUGCAAGCCUCAAAAUUAGGGGAAAAGAUCCUAGAUCGAUCUGACCUCCUUGGUGAGGAGGGGAAGAUGGAGGAGGCUCUCGUUCUCGGCACUCGGAUCUCGAUAGGAUCGGCAUCAGCUCCAAUCAUCUGCAAAACACAAAAUAAAGAUCAAGCCUUGGCAACAGAACCACGGGAAACCUGAAAUUCUGUACUGAACAAGAAGAGAUAAGUUGGGGAGAAAUUUAGGUCGCCUGAUUGAUGAGCUCCUGCAUAUGCAUACUGAAUGUUGAGCUUUAUUUCACCGACACUUGGUUCUGAACAUGUGUGCUUUUAAGAAAGUUUGUAUUCUUCUCUAUUUUGAACAGCCCACAAAGAGACUAAAAAAUGGUGAUAUGUUCCUUUCCGUGGUUUAAGAACUCUGGGACUAGGCCCAACUAACAAAUAGCUUCCUCGUCUUAAAAUACAUCUGUGUUCAGCUGUUUUCAGGAGAAAUGUUCGAUCAUUUUCAGAUGAUCAUCAUAUGGUCAGCGAGAUUCAAGGGAACACGCGACCCGAUUAUGCCUUCUAUAAGCAAAGCUGAGUUGUUGAGUUACAAGUGUCCUUUGGUUAAUGGAUGAUUCUCUUUCGCUCGCGGUAGCUUGCUCGAGGCAGACCUGCAAGCCCGAUGGAAAACUAACCGCGUACACCGUGUCGUGGCUUCGAGUUUCAGCGUCGACAUCACCUUUCUCUAACUGGCUUGCUUAGCCAUGGACAGUGAGACCACCCUUCAUUGAUUUCUUGAUCUAUAUCUUUAUUCUAGGCAUUAUGUCUGUGUUGGCUGUACAAUUGUUCAAACUCUAGCCUAGCUAUAGGUUUGUUUGAGGGGGAUUGAGUAGGAGUGUCUCUUUUCUAUAUCUAAAAUGGAUUUAACAUCCAACUUUAGUCAAGAACAAACCAUCAGUAAGGAAGUGUAACCUGGGAGAGGUGUGCAGAAAUCCUUGAGAAAAGAGAUAAUCACUAUGAAUGCUACUUUCCAGUGAUUUCUGGUGAUCCAUUAAUUUUUAUGAGUGAACUCGGAAGUUUUAUGCAUAUUAGAAAGUUGCAUUUCUGAUCCACAUGCUUGCUAAAUGCGUAUUUUUUCUUCCAUUUUUUGCUAGAAAGUAGGGAGCCUAGCACGAUUUACAUAUAUUUUACAUGAACUUCAUGCAACCACCUGCUAUGAAUAUGAGAUGUCACAACAUAGUUACUUUAGUGAGAAGUUACUGAACAUACUUUCUAUAUCUCUGGAUUUGGUUGAAGUGUUUCUGCCGUUAUCCACUCUCUCACUGGGCUUGUUUCUCUCUGCUUCCAUUUUAGUACUUGAGUAACACAUGAGACUGAAUAUUGUACCAUGUUAACUCUUGGAUCCACUCACAACCAGAAGGUGCAGCAAUCUAGAGCAGAAUAAACUCAGUUAAAUCAGCUUAUCUAACAAAGCCCUAUAACAGAACAAAUUAUGCAGAGUCUUGAAAGGAGACAUUCGUGAUGAUUUCUCAGUGAGGCGAUGCACUUGGUGACAAACCGAAUUUACGGGGAGGAGCAGGCGGCGGGGCUAGAGAGAUACUUACCUGGACCCGGACCAUCGCGCGGGAGAGGGUGGAGAGGCUCAUGGCAGCAACAGUGAGGGCACCAAGAGGAGGGAGGGGGCCCGGCGUCGCCGGCGAGCAUGCCGAGUCGAGCGCCUCCUCGAGCACUUCGGCGCCCAGAUUCGAAGAAGGAGCGGGAAAGAGGAGGGGCAUGCUAGUCCCGCGCCUCCACGUCCGCCUCCGACGACACCUAGAGCUGGCGCGAGCAUGCCGAGCUUGAGGGCCUCCUCGGCCACAUCCGUGGCCGGAUUCGACAAGAAGGGGAGGAAGAUCAGUGCCUGCGAAGCUCGCGCAGGCUGUGGUGACAAAGGGGAGGGGCGGCCUCACCUGGGACAGCCGGACAGCCGACUAUGGAGGGAGCUAGCGAUGGGAGAAUGGGGAACAGGGGGAGU